rnacentral:lncRNA from 1 species
CUAAAGCCGAAUGAGUUCUAUUUCGGCACCACCGUCCUUCGAAUUUCAUUCACCGUUUAGCAGCCUUAUCCACCCCUUGCACCGCUUCAGCACGCUGCCAAGAGUCCUGAUCAGACCCCAACUCUUCCCGAUGCAUACAGCAAAAACCAAAGCCUUCCGUGCGCGAGGUGAGGUUCGAACCCCAGACCUCUGUCCGCCUUUGCCCGUGCUGCUGGCCACUAUACC